AUUGAACGCUGGCGGCAGGCCUAACACAUGCAAGUCGAGCGGAUGAGGGGAGCUUGCUCCUUGAUUCAGCGGCGGACGGGUGAGUAAUGCCUAGGAAUCUGCCUGGUAGUGGGGGACAACGUUCCGAAAGGAACGCUAAUACCGCAUACGUCCUACGGGAGAAAGCAGGGGACCUUCGGGCCUUGCGCUAUCAGAUGAGCCUAGGUCGGAUUAGCUAGUAGGUGGGGUAAUGGCCCACCUAGGCGACGAUCCGUAACUGGUCUGAGAGGAUGAUCAGUCACACUGGAACUGAGACACGGUCCAGACUCCUACGGGAGGCAGCAGUGGGGAAUAUUGGACAAUGGGCGAAAGCCUGAUCCAGCCAUGCCGCGUGUGUGAAGAAGGUCUUCGGAUUGCAAAGCACUUUAAGUUGGGAGGAAGGGCAGUUAGUUAAUACCUGACUGUUUUGACGUUACCAACAGAAUAAGCACCGGCUAACUUCGUGCCAGCAGCCGCGGUAA
rnacentral:rRNA from 1 species